AUCUGUGUGAGGAUGAUUUUAAAGCUUACAGUUUAUGCACAUUUGAACGAAAAACAUCAACAUGAAAGGUUCGGCGACAAGGUCCCGGUCCAUUUCCAGUUUGGAAACUGGACGCUGUCGUUGCUCCAUCAUUGUUAAUUUAGUCUGUGGCCAUUCAGACCCUCUUCUGUGUGAUAAUUAAAGCCAAUCCUUUGCAUAUCAAAGGCACCAUUUACUCUGAGGCUUCACUUUAAAAGAAAAAUAAAGAAAAUGGCACCGGGCCAGACAGAAGGCUCAGCCCCAAACAAUACAGCAGCAGCCAUUUUAACGUGUUGGUUGGACCGAAGGACAAAAUGUGAAGAACAUAAAGCACAUAAUCCAUGUUCCAUUGUAGAGGUGCGAUCUCCAGGAAUUAAUCUUGGGCAGGGCCCUUCAAAGUUCUGACAUGCAAAACCUUCGAACGGAGGAAAUGGUCGAAUGGGGGCGGUGAAUUAUGCUUUUUAAUAAAGUAUUAGUAUGAGAAAUUUAGCAAAACCAUACAGAAUGGCCAAAUAAACUGGAAUAACAAAUGUGAAAAUAUCAGCCUAAUAAACUCUCUGGGGCCCAUUCAAUUUUUAGGCCUACAUAUCAAAAUAAUUAUCUUAUGAGGAAGAGCCAUCCACAAAUUAAACAUUACAAGCGCGAGAUCUGCUCUCUAUACUUUGCCCUUACCUUAUCUGCAUUUACACUGUCAAUUUCAUUUAUUGAAACGUUUCGUUUUUUCAAACCCUCAAACUUACUGUUAAUCACGCAUCAAGCACUACGCCUACGCUACUGCCGUAAAGACGCCCUAAGCAGUCUCGCGCAUGUGCGCGCGCGUUAUCUUCACCUGGUUUAAACCGUCUCAAGAAGUCCACAGCGGAUUUUACCAUACUGAAUAUUGACUCGCAUAAGUUUUACAUUCAGAAAUACUGUCGCAACAACCCACUUGAAGAUUAUAAUUAAUUCAACGUUGAGGCAACAUGUCGAGUUAAGGGACUGGGGGCGCGAGACAAAUGGUCAGAUCAAUACCCAUCUCCGCCAUUCCCUCCGGAAACCGGUCAUAAUUCAGGUAUCGAUUUCUCCCGAGUUCAGGUCAUAUUGAUUGCUGCGUUCGGUGUUUCUCGCCUCUGGUUUUGUCGCAGACGGAGUUGAAAAUACUUAAGUUUAAACAACAGCAGACCGAUUCAUUUCUGAAAUGACAAAUUGGAUUUGUUUUGAGUGAUAGGCGAUUCUUCAUUUCAUAAUAGCGUAGUUGACCAUGACAAACAUUCUGUUUCUAAAUAUUUCCAUUCUAAGAUGGAAACACUACUAGAAUUAAAUUAGGAUAUAUGAAGAGUAACUGUGGUAUGAGGUAUACAGUUUCAUGAAUUUUGAAAUGAGAGUUAAAUCACGUAAAAUAAAGUAAACUUACAUAUCCAGAGAUCUACAGCCA